rnacentral:lncRNA from 1 species
AUGUCUCAAAUACUGUGUGGGAUAAACUUAGAGCUAAACGUAUUCUUUGCUCAUUUUCUGUCCGAGUGUUACCGUGUGUCCUGUGUUGUAUCCGAUGAUCCUGCUCCUCUGUCUGCGUUGCUGUCCGGGCAGCAGCUCAAUGGCUCCUGCACUAUGCUCAUGCCAGGCCCGCAGUGUGGCGCCUGCUUCUCGCUGAAGUCAUGGGCCAGCCCGGGGACAGGCCGGACCCUGGACCUCCAGGGCUGCGGACGUGGGGGCGGAAGACGCCCUCCCAGCAUGAUGCGCAGCCGACCCCUGCCCCACGGCCUCCCGCUCCGAGGGCCUGGGCGUACCGGUCGAGGCUGGGUCCUUCCCCGUCCACUCGGCGUCCGGCGCCAGCCGCUUCCCUGGGUACGUACCACGGAAGGAAAUGAUUCGUGGGUCAACGCAGAGAGUGACUAAUGUUCUCUUUGUAAAAGGGAACAAUUCUGUGUUACAGGCAGGAAAAGUCACCCUGAGAGAGAAGCCCCGGGCCCUGCACGUCCCGAGCCCGGCGUCCUGGCCUCGCCUGGCUUCGGUCCACCGUGAGCGAGCAGGGUGAUGCGGGCUUUCAGGGUCAGCUGGGGCCCUGGGUGGCACGAACCGCCCUACCGCAACGGCACCUUGUCACAAACGGCGUUCGGCUGAUUUCAUGUAUGAUUGGCUCCCGGAUCCCGCUUUCUCGGCGCCCGGAGCAAGCGUUUCUGCUCAAACCAGUCCCCAACCUGCUUCUUCUUCUUUUUUUUUAAUCUUUAAAAAGUUUUUAUUUAUUUAUUCAUGAGAGACACACAGAGAGAGAGAGAGAGGCAGAGACCCAGGCCGAGGGAGAUGCAGGGAGCCCGACGUGGGAUUCGAUCCCAAGACCCCAGGAUGGCGCCUUGGGCUGCAGGCGGCGCUAACCGAUGAGGCCCCCGGGCUGCCCCCCAACCUGCUUCUUAAAAUGAAAUCACCUUCGUGUCACUUGAACCCCACAGUGCUGAUGGCCGGAGGGGGAGGUCAGCGUGCGCGUAGGCGCCAUGGCGUGUUUGCCAGGACACAGAUCCGCAGACGUGGUACGCAGGCCUUUCGGGGCGGGACGCCACUCGGGGUUCCUGGGGCCUCGUGCAGAGAACCGUUCCAGCCCGGCGGGAGGAAACGCUCUCCCGGAGGGCCAGCUCCCCUUGGUUUUGGACGGGAGGGGAGGACCCCUUGCCCUGUUAUGGGGCAGCUGAGGACCUGCCGAGGCCCCGGCAGUGGAAAUCACCAUGAUCUCGUGUCCCCAGAGCCCACAGUCCUGGCCACCACUGUGGUCUGUCCCCACUGACCCCAUGUGACUCCUGUCAUGUGAGAAUGAGUUUUCCACUGCCCUCACUCGGGCUUGAGGGGCAGGGACACAGGAUAGCUCGGGAGGGCCCUCCAGUCCCUGUGUGCAGCAGGCGUCUCC